GGCUUGGUGGUGUAGUGGUAACAUGCCCUCUUAAAGUAUGCAUUGAGCGACACUUUAGGGGGAGUGCCCUGUUCGAUUCGGGGCCAGGCCA